rnacentral:lncRNA from 1 species
GAGAAUGUGGGCUGACCAGAAAAUCCAGAGAAGAGCCCUGGUGUAAAGAUGAAACCUAUUAAGAGAGACUGAAUUCUGAAUCCUUAGGCUAAGGAGGAACAGGAUAACAGCCUUCAGCUGCUGGGCUCCAGUCAAGUACAUUGUCCCUCCUGAUCACGACUGCUCUGAAGGCAGGGUAGCUGUCUGAUGUGUCCUGCUGGCACCUGAGUACUUCAGGCUGAAAGGAUUAUCCUGUUGCAUUGUAAACAACCACUAAACCUUCUAAAGAGAUUUCUCAUCUGCACUGUUUUGCUGACAUUGCUUGUCGUGGACCCAUUUCCUGGUGGUUCUCCCUGAGGGGAUUAUUUU